rnacentral:rRNA from 1 species
UGGGAAUCUGCCCUGGGGUCUGGGAUAACCGUUGGAAACGACGGCUAAUACCGGAUGAUGAUGAAAAUCCAAAGAUUUAUCGCCCUGGGAUGAGCCCGCGUUGGAUUAGGUAGUUGGUGGGGUAAAGGCCUACCAAGCCGACGAUCCUUAGCUGGUCUGAGAGGAUGAUCAGCCACACUGGGACUGAGACACGGCCCAGACUCCUACGGGAGGCAGCAGUGGGGAAUAUUGGACAAUGGGCGAAAGCCUGAUCCAGCAAUGCCGCGUGAGUGAUGAAGGCCUUAGGGUUGUAAAGCUCUUUUACCAGGGAUGAUAAUGACAGUACCUGGAGAAUAAGCUCCGGCUAACUCCGUGCCAGCAGCCGCGGUAAU